CACGUAGGGUGCGAGCGUUGUCCGGAAUUAUUGGGCGUAAAGAGCUCGUAGGCGGUCUGUCGCGUCGGCUGUGAAAACCCGGGGCUCAACCCCGGGCCUGCAGUCGAUACGGGCAGACUAGAGUUCGGCAGGGGAGACUGGAAUUCCUGGUGUAGCGGUGAUAUGCGUAGAUAUCGGGAGGAACACCAGAGGCGAAGGCGGGUCUCUGGGCCGAUACUGACGCUGAGGAGCGAAAGCGUGGGGAGCGAACAGG
rnacentral:rRNA from 1 species